UAGGUGUUAUGACUAAUCUAUUCUUAAGCUCCUGGAAACUCCAUUCGCAUUUAUCCAACCAUUAAAAUUAACAUUCUUCCUUGUAAAAGCUGUUAAGGGAUGCAUUUAUUAGAUGCCAUAGUAAUUAUAUAGCUAAUACGUGCAACAAACCCCAACUUUUGGAAGGGAUGCAUUUAUUAGAUAAAAGGUCGAUGUGUGAUAUGUGCAUUGCUCUAAUGAUUAAUGAUAACUCAACGGAUCACACGACCAUCGUGCCGAGGACGCAUCAUUCAAAUUUCAGCCCUAUCAACUUUCGAUGGUAGGAUAAUGGCCUACUAUGGUGGUGACAAGUGAUGGAGAAUUAGGGUUUGAUUUCGGAGAGGGAGCCUGAGAAAUGGCUACCACAUCCAAGGAAGGCAGCAGACGUGCAAAUUACCGAAUCCAGACACGGGGAGGUAGUGACAAUAAAUAACAAUACUAACAAUACUAGGCUCUUUAAGUCUUGUAAUUGGAAUGAGUACAAUCUAAAUCCCUUAACAAGGAUCCAUUGGAGGGCAAGUCUAGUGCCAGCAGCCAUGGUAAUUUCAGCUCCAAUAGAGUAUAUUUAAGUUGUUGCAGUUAAAAAGCUCGUAGUUGGACCUUGGGUUGGGUUGAUCAGUCUGCCUAUUGUGAGCACCGGUUGGCUCGUCCCUUCUGUCGGCGAUGUGCUCCUGGCCUUAACUGGCCAGGUCGUGCCUCUGCCUCUGUUACUUUGAAGAAAUUAGAGUGCUCAAAGCAAGUCUACGCUCUGUAUACAUUAGCAUGGGAUAACAUCAUAGGAUUUCGAUCCUAUUCUGUUGGCCUUCGAGAUCGAAGCAAUGGUUAACAAGGACAGUCGGGGGCAUUCGUAUUCCAUAGUCAGAGGUAAAAUUCUUGGAUUUAUGAAAGACAAACAACUACAAAGGCAUUUGACUCAACACGGGGAAACUUACAGGUCUAGAUAUAGUAAGGAUUGACAGACUGAGAGCUCUUUCUUGAUUCUAUGGGUGGUGGUGCAUGGUUGUUUUUAAUUGGUGGAGCGAUUUAUCUGGUUAAUUCCAUUAAUGGAUGAGACCUCCAUGGCCAGCUUCUUAGAGGGACUAUAGCCACUUAGGCCAAGGAAGUUUGAGGCAAUAACAGGUCUGUGAUGCCUUUAGAUGGUCUGGGCCGCACAGGCGGUACACUUAUGUAUUCAACGAGUCAAUAAACUUGGCCUAUAGGCCCGGGUAAUCUUUAAAAUUUAAUCAUGAUGGGGAUAGAUCGUUGCAAUUGUUGGUAUUCAACAAGGAAUUCCUAGUAAGCGCAAGUCAUCAGCUCGCGUUGACUAUGUCCUUGCCCUUCACACUGCCCAUACAAGUCUACUGAACCUUAUCGUUUAAAGGAAGGAGAAGUCGUAACAAGGUUUCCGUAGGUGAACCUGUAAAAGGAUCAUUG
rnacentral:rRNA from 1 species